rnacentral:rRNA from 1 species
ACGUACGCUGGCGGCACGCCUAACACAUGCAAGUCGAACGAAGUAGCAAUACUUAGUGGCAGACGGGUGAGUAACAUGUAGGUAUCUGCCCUUUGGCCUGGAAUAACACGAGGAAACUUGUGCUAAUACCGGAUAAGUCUUUACAGAGAAAGCUUUAUGCACCAUUGGAUGAGCCUGCACUUGAUUAGUUUGUUGGUGGGGUAAUGGCCUACCAAGACUGUGAUCAAUAGCUGAUUUGAGAGGAUGAUCAGCCACAUUGGGACUGAGACACGGCCCAAACUCCUACGGGAGGCAGCAGUGGGGAAUCUUGCACAAUGGAGGAAACUCUGAUGCAGCGAUGCCGCGUGAGUGAAGAAGGCCUUUGGGUUGUAAAGCUCUUUCGUCGGGGAAGAAAAUGACUGUACCCGAAUAAGAAGGUCCGGCUAACUUCGUGCCAGCAGCCGCGGUAAUACGAAGGGACCUAGCGUAGUUCGGAAUUACUGGGCUUAAAGAGUUCGUAGGUGGUUGAAAAAGUUAGUGGUGAAAUCCCAGAGCUUAACUCUGGAACUGCCAUUAAAACUUUUCAGCUAGAGUAUGAUAGAGGAAAGCAGAAUUUCUAGUGUAGAGGUGAAAUUCGUAGAUAUUAGAAAGAAUACCAAUUGCGAAGGCAGCUUUCUGGAUCAUUACUGACACUGAGGAACGAAAGCAUGGGUAGCGAAGAGGAUUAGAUACCCUCGUAGUCCAUGCCGUAAACGAUGUGUGUUAGACGUUGGAAAUUUAUUUUCAGUGUCGCAGCGAAAGCGAUAAACACACCGCCUGGGGAGUACGACCGCAAGGUUAAAACUCAAAUGAAUUGACGGGGACCCGCACAAGUAGUGGAGCAUGUGGUUUAAUUCGAAGAUACGCGCAGAACCUUACCAACACUUGACAUGUUCGUCGCGACUCUAAGAGAUUAGAGUUUUCGGUUCGGCCGGACGAAACACAGGUGCUGCAUGGCUGUCGUCAGCUCGUGUCGUGAGAUGUUGGGUUAAGUCCCGCAACGAGCGCAACCCUCACUUUUAGUUGCCAUCAUUAAGUUGGGCACUCUGAAAGAACUGCCAGUGAUAAGCUGGAGGAAGGUGGGGAUGACGUCAAGUCCUCAUGGCCCUUACGUGUUGGGCUACACACGUGCUACAAUGGUAUCUACAACAGGAAGCAAGACUGCGAAGUUAAGCAAAUCCCUAAAAGAUACCUCAGUUCGGAUUGCACUCUGCAACUCGAGUGCAUGAAGCUGGAAUUACUAGUAAUCGUGGAUCAGCGUGCCACGGUGAAUGCGUUCCCGGGUCUUGUACACACCGCC